CCUGACAAUAAUGGACUAAACCUCUGAACUUAUGCUUGUUUCCCUGGGGAGAUAUGUACAAAAACCAUGUUUGCCCCAGAUUGGACACCAACGACAGAACAAAAUAAGGAUUUCACUGAAGUCCAGUUUUUCAGCCAGUGGCCAGGGCCUAUCUCGCCCACACUGGCUCUGCCUCUCCAGAGCUCCAAAAUUGGGCUCUUCUCCCAGCUCGUCAAGUUCCUGUGGCUGACCAUUGCCACCUCUGCCCCUGUGCUUCCAUAUUCCUGCAGCUGACUGGGGUAUACUCUCGCACACCAUGCUCUGCUGCUUGCUGUACCUUUCUCUGGAACCCAGGUGAGUUCCGCGUGAAGAAAAACACCACACAAUCUUAGUUUAGAAUCAGUAGGUAACACAAUCUCUGGGUGCAGAACCUAGCAUCCUAAUUCUACAAACUGAUCUAUAUUAAAUCCUCAAAUGGUGGAUCCUGGUGGAUCUGCCACUCAAAUCAACAGCCUCUGGUUUCCUAUAUUCUGUCUG